rnacentral:lncRNA from 1 species
UGAAAACUAAAUGUUUAUUGAGCAGAAACAGUACUCAGAACAGCGUUAUCCUUUAAUCAAAAAAUAUCUCUGGAACAGUAGCAAGGUCAAUGGUCAGAGGUCAGCACCAACCCUUCAAAAAACAGAACAAAACAAACGUAAAGAGUAGAAAGCAACAGCCAGCAGGGUUCGCUCUGCUCUGAUCACAUCUCAGUCUAUUCACUGAUGUCUGGAGUCACCUGGUCCUCACCUAGAAAUCAGUCUGUUAACUGGUACCAGUCUGGAAGAGGAGGGGGGCUAUAGGGGUCUGUAGUAGAGGAGGGGGGUUAUAGGGGUCUGUAGUAGAGGGGGGGUCUGUAGUAGAGGUGGGGGGUUAUAGGGGUCUGUAGUAGAGGUGGGGGGUUAUAGGGGUCUGUAGUAGAGGAGGGGGGUUAUAGGGGUCUGUAGUAGAGGAGGGGGGUUAUAGGGGUCUGUAGUAGAGGAGGGGGGUUAUAGGGGUCUGUAGUAGAGGAGGGGGGGUUAUAGGGGUCUGUAGUAGAGGGGGGGGGGUUAUAGGGGUCUGUAGUAGAGGAGGGGGGUUAUAGGGGUCUGUAGUAGAGGAGGGGGGUUAUAGGGGUCUGUAGUAGAGGAGGGGGGGUUAUAGGGGUCUGUAGUAGAGGAGGGGGGUUAUAGGGGUCUGUAGUAGAGGAGGGGGUCUGUAGUAGAGGAGGGGGGUUAUAGGGGUCUGUAGUAGAGGAGGGGGUUAUAGGGGUCUGUAGUAGAGGAGGGGGGGUUAUAGGGGUCUGUAGUAGAGGAGGGGGGGUUAUAGGGGUCUGUAGUAGAGGAGGGGGUUAUAGGGGUCUGUAGUAGAGGAGGGGGGUUAUAGGGGUCUGUAGUAGAGGAGGGGGGGUUAUAGGGGUCUGUAGUAGAGGAGGGGGUUAUAGGGGUCUGUAGUAGAGGAGGGGGGUUAUAGGGUCUGUAGUAGAGGAGGGGGGGUUAUAGGGGUCUGUAGUAGAGGAGGG